UUAUCUCAUAGCAUAAAUAAUGCUUUUCAUUUACAUUGAAAAAAUAUCUUAGAUUGAGCUAAA
rnacentral:tRNA from 2 species